rnacentral:rRNA from 1 species
AUUGAACGCUGGCGGCAUGCUUUACACAUGCAAGUCGAACGGUAACAGGCCGCAAGGUGCUGACGAGUGGCGAACGGGUGAGUAAUGCAUCGGAACGUGCCCAGUCGUGGGGGAUAACGCAGCGAAAGCUGUGCUAAUACCGCAUACGAUCUAUGGAUGAAAGCGGGGGACCGUAAGGCCUCGCGCGAUUGGAGCGGCCGAUGUCAGAUUAGGUAGUUGGUGGGGUAAAGGCUCACCAAGCCAACGAUCUGUAGCUGGUCUGAGAGGACGACCAGCCACACGGGGACUGAGAAACGGCCCAGACUCCGACGGGAGGCAGCAGUGGGGAAUUUUGGACAAUGGGCGCAAGCCUGAUCCAGCAAUGCCGCGUGCAGGGAGAAGGCCUUCGGGUUGUAAACUGCUUUUGUACGGAACGAAACGGUCUGGGUUAAUACCCUGGGCUAAUGACGGUACCGUAAGAAUAAGCACCGGCUAACUACGUGCCAGCCGCCGCUGUAAGAC